rnacentral:rRNA from 1 species
ACGUCCGUCGUGAAGAGGGAAACAACCCAGACCGCCAGCUAAGGUCCCAAAGUCAUGGUUAAGUGGGAAACGAUGUGGGAAGGCCCAGACAGCCAGGAUGUUGGCUUAGAAGCAGCCAUCAUUUAAAGAAAGCGUAAUAGCUCACUGGUCGAGUCGGCCUGCGCGGAAGAUGUAACGGGGCUAAACCAUGCACCGAAGCUGCGGCAGCGACGCUUAUGCGUUGUUGGGUAGGGGAGCGUUCUGUAAGCCUGCGAAGGUGUGCUGUGAGGCAUGCUGGAGGUAUCAGAAGUGCGAAUGCUGACAUAAGUAACGAUAAAGCGGGUGAAAAGCCCGCUCGCCGGAAGACCAAGGGUUCCUGUCCAACGUUAAUCGGGGCAGGGUGAGUCGACCCCUAAGGCGAGGCCGAAAGGCGUAGUCGAUGGGAAACAGGUUAAUAUUCCUGUACUUGGUGUUACUGCGAAGGGGGGACGGAGAAGGCUAUGUUGGCCGGGCGACGGUUGUCCCGGUUUAAGCGUGUAGGCUGGUUUUCCAGGCAAAUCCGGAAAAUCAAGGCUGAGGCGUGAUGACGAGGCACUACGGUGCUGAAGCAACAAAUGCCCUGCUUCCAGGAAAAGCCUCUAAGCAUCAGGUAACAUCAAAUCGUACCCCAAACCGACACAGGUGGUCAGGUAGAGAAUACCAAGGCGCUUGAGAGAACUCGGGUGAAGGAACUAGGCAAAAUGGUGCCGUAACUUCGGGAGAAGGCACGCUGAUAUGUAGGUGAAGUCCCUUGCGGAUGGAGCUGAAAUCAGUCGAAGAUACCAGCUGGCUGCAACUGUUUAUUAAAAACACAGCACUGUGCAAACACGAAAGUGGACGUAUACGGUGUGACGCCUGCCCGGUGCCGGAAGGUUAAUUGAUGGGGUCAGCGCAAGCGAAGCUCUUGAUCGAAGCCCCGGUAAACGGCGGCCGUAACUAUAACGGUCCUAAGGUAGCGAAAUUCCUUGUCGGGUAAGUUCCGACCUGCACGAAUGGCGUAAUGAUGGCCAGGCUGUCUCCACCCGAGACUCAGUGAAAUUGAACUCGCUGUGAAGAUGCAGUGUACCCGCGGCAAGACGGAAAGACCCCGUGAACCUUUACUAUAGCUUGACACUGAACAUUGAGCCUUGAUGUGUAGGAUAGGUGGGAGGCUUUGAAGUGUGGACGCCAGUCUGCAUGGAGCCGGCCUUGAAAUACCACCCUUUAAUGUUUGAUGUUCUAACGUGGACCCGUGAUCCGGGUUGCGGACAGUGUCUGGUGGGUAGUUUGACUGGGGCGGUCUCCUCCUAAAGAGUAACGGAGGAGCACGAAGGUUGGCUAAUCCUGGUCGGACAUCAGGAGGUUAGUGCAAUGGCAUAAGCCAGCUUGACUGCGAGCGUGACGGCGCGAGCAGGUGCGAAAGCAGGUCAUAGUGAUCCGGUGGUUCUGAAUGGAAGGGCCAUCGCUCAACGGAUAAAAGGUACUCCGGGGAUAACAGGCUGAUACCGCCCAAGAGUUCAUAUCGACGGCGGUGUUUGGCACCUCGAUGUCGGCUCAUCACAUCCUGGGGCUGAAGUAGGUCCCAAGGGUAUGGCUGUUCGCCAUUUAAAGUGGUACGCGAGCUGGGUUUAGAACGUCGUGAGACAGUUCGGUCCCUAUCUGCCGUGGGCGCUGGAGAACUGAGGGGGGCUGCUCCUAGUACGAGAGGACCGGAGUGGACGCAUCACUGGUGUUCGGGUUGUCAUGCCAAUGGCACUGCCCGGUAGCUAAAUGCGGAAGAGAUAAGUGCUGAAAGCAUCUAAGCACGAAACUUGCCCCGAGAUGAGUUCUCCCUGACCCUUUAAGGGUCCUGAAGGAACGUUGAAGACGACGACGUUGAUAGGCCGGGUGUGUAAGCGCAGCGAUGCGUUGAGCUAACCGGUACUAAUGAAC